AUCUAGGAAUGGAAAGAACAGACCUGAAUCAUUUGAGAGUGGAAGGAGAAUAAAGAUGGAUGUACUGGAAUAGUGUCAGAACUGAAAUUCUUCAGCCAAAGGAACCUCCAUUGAACAGAAAAGGGUCAAGCUUAAAGCAUGGGAUGAAGGAACCAGAGCUAACCCUGAAGAUAGUUAUCUUCUCUAAGGCUAAUCUCAACCACACAGAUGCAGGAAAAAAUGGAUAAAGCAAAUGCUGCAGGUUUGGGAUGACGAGUGGUGGCUGCAGAACUUUUGACUGUGAAAGGCCACGUUCCUGGAUCUGUGUGCCAAGCUUGCCGCAACACACCAGCGUUAUGUAUACCAGAAUGAGAGCUGCACUGACAGUUGAGAAGCGAGGGAUGGUCGUACUGUGGAAAUUUGCAAUGGUGGAUUCCUACCGGUCAGUGGGAAAUCAUUAUGGAGUUGGAAAAUCCAUGGGGGGGGCGUUGUCACGCAAGCGUGCAGGGCAAUUAAUCAUCUCCUGCUAUUCAGGACCAUGACCCUCAGCAAUGUGCAGGAAAUAGUGGAUGGACUUGCAGGAAUGGGGUGUGACGGGAUCCCCGGGGUGCAGCCUGGGACUAUGGGACCUCUG